rnacentral:rRNA from 1 species
GACAGAGGGUGCAAACGUUGUUCGGAAUUACUGGGCGUAAAGCGCGUGUAGGCGGACCACCAAGUCGGACGUGAAAGCCCUGGGCUCAACCCGGGAACUGCAUCCGAAACUGGCGGUCUGGAGUAGUGGAGAGGAAAGCAGAAUUCCUGGUGUAGAGGUGAAAUUCGUAGAUAUCAGGAGGAACACCGGUGGCGAAGGCGGCUUUCUGGACACUUACUGACGCUGAGACGCGAAAGCGUGGGGAGCAAACAGG